rnacentral:lncRNA from 1 species
UUGGAGGGCUCUCGACCUGUCUAUCGAGGCCUGCGGGCAUGAAAUGCAGCAUCCCCAGGAAAAAGGGACGUCAGUACGAAUAAUGUACCGAGUAUGUAAGGAACAUAAAUAAGUACAUAAAAGACAUGGAAGAAAUAUAGAGUAAAUGACUCAACCUGUCAGUCAGGAUAACUUUGUAAAUCAUGAAAUACUUAUAGUGUCAUGCAUGUGAAUAUGAAUGUCAUGUUAUGCAUAGAUACAUGUGUUCAUAACAUCAUCAUCAAGCCUCUGAGAGCAUCACAUCAUAUCAUCAACUACUGUGGGCAAAAUCACCAACGUAUACUAGCUGAUCAGGUGGUGGUGCGUAUAUAACGCCAUAACUUUUUCCCAUAUCCUAAUAUAUAAUAUACAUAUAUACAUGUAUAUAAUGCAAUCUGGUCAUGGGUCAAUGUACAUGAAUGCAAUACAUGAGAAUUACGUCAAUAAAAUCUUUCAGAGUGUCAUAAGACCAUUAUGCCUCUGAUUAAUAUCAUGAAGUAAACAUUUUCAACUUACGUAUUUUUCUUAGACCCAUGAACAGAUGAUAAAAUAAUAGGACACAUGAGAAUUCAACAACAUAGGCACUUCUAGUACUUUUAUGAAUAGAGUCAUUUAUGAAAGUUGUGCAUUUUCUCAUUUCGUUUGUAUCGUAUAGAUCAUGCCAAAAGGAAAGAAGGGAUAGCCUUAACAUACUUGGGGCAGGAAAAAAUCCGUAUGAUAUUCUUGCUCGAAUUUUUGUUGAAGCAGAAUUGUCACGUUACUAAGUUGCCUACCAUUUUUAAGGAAUUUGCGAUGUAUAGAAGGCUAAACGGCAUCUUCUGAUUCUCUUUUCAUGUGUUAAAGGAAGCAACGAAACCAAUUGUAAAAAUGAACUACAACUGAAAUCUGGAGAAAUGAUGCACCAUAGGCAAUUUUCUUGAGUUUAUUUUGACCGUUCUUAAAACUUAACUACUACAACCCUUAUACCCAUCAAAACAUUAAACAAUUUAAUAUUCCAAAUCUCUUUGAAUUGUAUUAUAUCAAAUGAUCCGGAAAUAAUAAGAUAAUUAUGAUUCAUUAAGUCAUUUAAAAGGUGGCAAGUUAACGUAUGUGGUGGCUGCCACAUGGGGGUUUAUCCUUAUCACAAAUCUUAUCCACUUACUUAAUUAUUUUGUUAAUCCCCCAUUAUCCAAUAAUUACCUAAUUAUCCGUAUUAUUAUGAAUUAUCUCAAAUUACUUAAAAUACCACUCACUUUUAACACACUUUAUACACCUUAUAAUCACAGUCAUGUGGUACCUUGUAUGGCACUAGUCCAUAAAUUCCGGUAUUAUAUUUUAUCCCAAAGUGUCAAACUUUGACGAAACUCAUUUUUUUCAAUUUGCUUAUCCUUUCACUUUCAUUAAUUUACUCAUCACUUGUUUAAAAUAGCAUAAUACUUAUAAUGUCAAAAUAAUCUCAUUCCCGAACUUACGUCGAUUAACUUACGACGAAACUUUAACGUAUAAAAAUACGGGAUCUAACAUCUCAUUUUCCGAGCUUCCAUCAAUUUACUUAUGGCAUACUUUCACGUACAAAAACAUGGGGUGUAACAUGUUUUAACUUUCUGGAGGCGCUUAGCAAAGCAAGCGUCAAUUUUUCCAAGUGAGGGUACCUUGCUUCGGCCUCGCCUAGAGUUCUACUUGUCACGCCUCCUUUUUUACCACCCGAGGGCAAUAUAAGGGAGUUUCUUCAAUUUAAGUGACAAUAAAAAUAAGAUUAUUUUGUUUAAAAAUCAUAGUUACCAUUUGGGAUAAUUUAUGGUGUCCCAAGUCACCGGUUAAAUCCCGAAUCGAGGAAGAAUUGACUCUGGUUUACAGUCCGCGAAACACAAAAAUUCGGGUAAGAAAUUCUGUUAACCUGGGAGAAGGUGUUAGGCAUUCCUAAGUUUCGUGAUUUUAGUACGGUCGCUCAACUAUUAUUAUUGGCAUAAUUAUCUCAUGUAAUUACACAUUUUAAACCUAUGUGCAUUUUUUAACUUUCUAACCGCUUUCAGUAUUUCAGGAAAAUUCAAAGGUUAUUUAAAAUAGAUCGUGAGCCACGCUACAUGAAAUACACCCGCGGUUCACGACACGUUCUAUUUAACCUUGUUGGAAAUUAGAAUCGGGUCACAUGAAAUGCACACCCGAAUUUUAGUAAUUAAGCAUCACAACUAUAUCACGGGAACCAUACUCGUAGCUAUGACAAUUUAUUAUAGCGCGCCUAAAGCAAACUACGAUGUUUUUGAAUAUUAUAAAAUUAUUUUUGGACUAAUUAAAGAGGGCACCUAUAUGAUAUUAACGGGCCUAGCAUGCCCCUAGCAACCCGAAUAAUUAAAAGAGAAAUAAAACAAGAAUGACAGAAACUUUCUUGAGUUCAAUUCCUUUCUCAUAUUUAACCAAGACCCACAUCUAGUUUCAAUUUCUCUUUAAAAAAAAUUAGCAUGUGGCUUACGCAUACUCUUAUUUCAGUCGAAUUAAACAAAAGCAAAGUAAAGAAAAUUAACAAAUAUUACCCAAAACUCUAAUCAUUUUAAUUUGAGAUCUCUGCCAGCAAACAACUCAACAUUCUUAGAGAUUUAUUAGUCUAAAUUUUAAACAAAUAAAAUGAACAAAUCAAGAUAGUAGACUAAUGAACAGAACCAUUAAAGCAUAUCAAACAAAAUUAAACAAGAAAACUCACUCACAAAUAUUCGACUAACUGGGUAAGAGGAAAACGAAAUGAAUAUUCUGUAACUGUAUUUGCUUUCGAGUCAGUCAAUUGAACCUCCAAUAGCAACGGCCAGGAACAGUUACAAUUUGUUGAGAUGGUAUUAAAUAGAACCCGACAUAUCGAACAAAACUCAACCACGAACAGGGCCGCCGGUCGGAACUUUGACAGCGGAACUGGAGCGAACAUCUUUCUUGCUCAAAUGUGAGCACUCGAACUUCAAAAUUCAGAGUAUGCUGAUUGUGAUUUAGUUGACGAAAAAACAAGGAGGUUUUCACAGCAAAAACUAUGGAAUUCUAAGGCGGUUUUAUUUUUUGAAGCUGGAAGUUUGCCGCGAAGCUCACAUGGUUGCAGGUGGCGGCUGGUUUGUGUAUAGGCGAUGGGUGUUUGGUUAAGAAGAAGCUGGAGAAGGAGCUGAAGGUCGCUGGUUAGGGCUCGUGUGUUCUGUUGUGUUUCAGAGAGGAGGGGUCGUUGGAAGGUUGAAGAAGAAACAGAUUGGUGGUGGAGUUGUUUGGGUGUAACGGCUGGGGUAGGUGGUUUCGAAGAAGAAGAAGCUUUGGGGGGGGCAUCUUUGUUUUUGUUGUUGGGUGAAAUCUGGGAAAUCUCAGUUUCUUUAAAUGGGAGAUAUGGAUGCCUAAGCUUUUUUUUGGAAUUCCGUUCUAGGAAUUUUAGAGUCUCCACUCUCUCUCUCUCUUUAUUAUGUUUCUUCCGUUCCCCUUUUUUUUCUGUGUGUGCAC